rnacentral:rRNA from 1 species
AACUCUUAACAACGGAUAUCUUGGUUCUCGCAACGAUGAAGAACGCAGCGAAAUGCGAUACGUAAUGUGAAUUGCAGAAUUGAGUGAAUCAUCAAAAUUUUGAACGCAUAUUGCGCUCUGGGGUAUUCCCCAGAGCAUGCCUGUUUGAGUGUCA